AGGUGGAGGGAGGCUCAGCCUACUAUGCCAUAGCACCGGCCUCGAGAUUUGAAUUCUUAUACUCAGCUACUUGAUUGCAAAAUAUUGGCAACUAAGUCAAUAUUUAACAAAUCCAACUGAAACACUCCUGUGGCCUCUGGAUCAGAGACCAGGCUGGUGGCUGUGUUCCCUUCCCCUUGUCGGUUCCCUGCUUCCUCCCUCCUCUGGGUGGGGUGCCGGAGGGGGAGGGGGCUGCUGUCCCUCCUGUGUUCCUUUGUGACCUCACUCCCACCCUGGCCUCCCGUUGAGCCAGCCAGUGGCUUGGCUGCGGUCUGUCUUUUCUCUAAGAACACUUCAAUCCCUCCAAGUAAUCGAGGCGUAAUUAUAGCUAUCAGGAUGCCACCUCCGAGGACGGGGUGGAAAUUAAUGAAGUGUUUCCCACAUGCUCCGGCACCUGCAGAAGAACUCGCGACUUCCUCCCAGAAUGGCAUUCUUCCUCGUCAGGUGCUGCUAACCCUCAUUAACAUCUGAGGAGGAGGACUGAGGAAGCCUCAGAGGAAAACCACCGGGAGGCCCGGGGAGAAGUGGUGGGUGGAGAGGGUGCUGCUUAAAGAAAGCCACGGUAGGGCACAGUUCCUACGGUGACCUUAGACUUCGCUUAGAGGAAGGAGCCGAGCUCCGAGCUCCGCUGUGACUUGGGCCCUGGGCAUUGUAAAACUCCUGGCAUCUGGUGGUAGGUGCUAACACAUGCUAAGAAAUAAAUGAGCACCAGAAGCAAUCGCUAGAUGGAAACAAGAGGAGUCAAAGAUCUUACCACUGACCACUAGGAGGUGGACCAGUCGUUGAUGUCUGAUGAUUUGGCCUUUACAACAUGAAGAUAUCCGUGCCCUUUCUCCUUGUUUAAACACUGGUCUCUCUCCACCCUUGAUUGUCUGAUCCAUUUGUCUUCAAUCAGGGCCCUGCUCUUUGUUGGCUGUUGUAAAGCUCUGACUACAAAAAGCAAACAGUUUAAAGUAAAUUAGAGAUAUUGGAGAAAAGUCUCAGGAAGUUAAUGGAAGUUAUGCGGGAGAACUGCCCAGAUUCCCACAAACCCACUGAUAGAUGAGGAUCUGGGUGCAUUGUACUACAUACAGUGAUGGAGAAAAUCAACAAGGAUAACAGAAAGGCACUGAACAGGAACAGUUAAAGGACAAAGAGAGUCUCAUGGAAAAAUUGAAUAAAGGUUUAUUUUUUCUUUUUGAGACAAUCAUCUGUGGGCCCCUAAACACAGCCACUGCAUGGAGAGGAGAGCAACUUUCACCGUGAGCCAGGAGCUAGGCUGAAAUCAGCACCCUCAUUAACGCCCCCUCUUCCACACUGGUGCGCUGGUUCCAGUCCUGCCUAACCCACUUCUGAUCCAGCUCCCUGCUAAUGCAGCUGCGAAGCAGCAGAUUGACGGCUCAGGUACUUGAGUUCCUGCCACCACGUGAGAAACCUGAAUGGAGCUCCUGCCUCCUGGCUUCAGGCUGGCUCAGCCCUGCUGUUGUGGCCAUCUGGGGAGUGAACCAUUGGAUGGAAGAUCUCUCUUUGUGUUGAUGCCACUCUGCCUUUCAAGUAAGUAAAUAGACCUUUAAAAAAGAAAAAAGUACAUGAUGUGCAUGCCUGUGGCUGUGACUUUACCUCCUCGAUGGUUCUGACCAUUGAUAUUUCAGCAUUUAUGUGGCAAGAGGCGGUUCCAGGGUAUGGGAAUGGGCUUAGCAUGGUUUUGUGCUGUAUUAUGGUUUGAACGUACCUAGAAUUCAUGUGUUGGAAACUUAAUCCCCAAAACCACAUGCUAAUGAUAUUUGGAAGUGGAACCUUUGAGAGGUGAUUGGGGUGUUGAAACUCUUUCCUUUUUUUUUUUUUAAGAUUUAUUUAUUUGAGAGGCAGAGUUACAGACCAAGAAAGGGGAAGACAGAGAGAAAGGUCUUCCAUCCACUAGUUCACUCUCCAAAUUGCCACAAUGGCCAGACCUGAGCUAAUCCAAAGCCGGGAGCUAGGAGCUUCUUCUGGGUCUCCCACAUGGGUGCAGGGGCCCAAGCACUUGGGCCACCCUUCACUGCUUUCCUGGGCCAUUAGCAGGGAGCUGCAUCAGAAGUAGAGCAGCUGGGACUAGAAUAGUCACCGUUGGGGAUACUGGCACCGCAGGCAGAAGUUAACCAUGAUGCCACAGUGCCGGCCAUGAAACUCUGCCCUGUUGAAUGGACUAAUCCAUUCAUGGAUUACUGGUUUAAUAGAGUAUCAAGGGAAUGAAUUAGUUGUCAUGAGAGUGGAUCUGUUAUGAAAGCCAGUUUGGCCGUCUCUCUUCAGUCCCCUCACUGUGUGGCUGCUGGGCUGCCUUGGGAUUCUACAGAGCAUCUCCACCAGCAGCAGGUGCUCACCAGGGACAGUCCUUUGACCUUGGACUUCCCAGCCUCAAGAUUGUAAGAAUUUUUCCCAAAGAACCCAGUCUAGAUAUUCAGCAGAAAGUGGACUAAGACAUUUGUAAAAGCAGAAGCAUUGGCUUGAGUGCCUUGGCAGAGCGAGGGCUUCAUGUUACUUUCACAUGGACUUUUCACACCUAUUUCUCUAGGCAAGGGCUAGGAUUGGCUGUUACUGACAACUUACUCCAGAUAAAUGUGAUACAUAGACUCUGAUGCUUCAGGACCAUGAAUGAUGGCCCCCUUCCAUAAGCUCUGGCUGAGUUCUGGCUAUGAGCUAGGCCAUGUGUGCAUGUGCGUGCGUGCGUGUGUGUGUGUGUGUGUCUAACAUGAACCUGUAGGAAAAAAGAACAUGAGGAAGAGCUCCUCUGACACUUCUGCAUGGCUCUCUUUCUGGCAAUGAAUGAAAAUAACUAUUGAGGGUCAAUAUGGACUGAUGUGAAAACAUUUCUAAGAGAUAUUAGGUGGAAACUUACAUUGCAGAACUGAAUGUGAAAUCCAUGUUCAAUUCUGGGAAAAAUGAUUUAAGUAAAAUUUGAUUCACUUACCUGUCCCACAAACAGUAACAAAUUCUCCCAUGGCCCUAAUGGAAUCUUAGGGGAAUGUUGACCCGCUCUCUCCCUGCCUCUGUGUCUAUGCUCUGGACUCUGGCUGGAUUACUGAACUCACGUGCCCCUCACUGCCUGUCUUUCUCUCCUCCCUGCAGAACUGUCUUCUCCCUUGUUAGAAACCCCAGCCAGGGCAGGCAGAGGCUGGCCUGGCCUCUCAGGAAAGUAGAUGCCGCUGGUGGUCCACAGAGAUGUUGAAGUUCUUGCUCUGGCCGGGGCUUCCCGGCUGCAAAGACCAGUAUGGGUGGAGAGGGGCUGGGUUGCUUCAAGGGAGCUCCGAUCUGGAGAAGCCAAUGGGAAGGAGAGGCUCUGUAUGAGCAAAAGCUGGGAGAGGGCAGCAUGGGCAUGGCGAGAAUCAGUGCUCGGUGUAGGAGGCCAACAGGAGGUGAGCUGCAAAGGCAGCAGAGCUCAGGCCCUGCCCAGGGUCCUCAGAUGCCUUUCUUGGCAGAUUGGACUUUGCUGUCACCACUGAGGAGCCACCGACCACUCCUGAGCAGAAGACUCACAUGGUAGACCUCAGCAUUGCUAGGACCAGGCUCUCUGGAAAGGGUGCAGGACAGGAAGUCUGAUCAAAGAGCCUUUCCCACAGCCAGGUCCUGAGCCAUGGAGCUGAAGUGACCAUACAGGCUAGAGUCUGUGGCAUCCUCAGACUUGGAUCUCCUUGGGGAGACAGGGACAGAGCAGAGAACCACUGAAGCUCUGGAGGGAGAGAAUAGUUGGAUGAGUUGGAUGAGAGCCAGGAGAAACCACAGGCUGGAGGCUACUGCGGGAGAGAGGCUGAGGAUGGCUGCCUUAGUGAGCCCUAUGCGGAGCUGCAAUCGUGAGUCCACACACAGAGUUCCAGCCUCCACUGGUGAUCAAACCUACAGACCCCAAACAGCCUGUGCUUGAGACUGGUCUGGGCACACACCUAAGGAGCAUCAGAUGCGUAGAGGGAACACUGGUUUCUGGAGACUGAGGAGUUUUACUGGCAGGAAGAGGUGAGAUUGGAGGGCUUCCAGGCAGUGAGGAGAGCUGAGGAAGCAAAUACCUGGCAGUGUGUCCUUGCUUUUCUUCUAGGCGGUGAGGGAACAGUCUCACCUAAGUUUGCCUGUCUGGUCAGAGCAGACUUGAGUUAGACCUCUGGAUCCUGUGUGCAUAUCGGAACUCUCCAUAGUUCUGCAACCCAAGCUGUUAGAAGCAGGUUCCAACCCGGUACUGCAGCUGAGAGAACUGACACAGGGGAUGUAUUUGGCACAGUGCUUCCGGCACAGUAGGUAUUCAACAUUUGUCUCUAUUAUCAUUAUUAUUUUAUCAACGGUUCUCCAGAAGAGAGAAAAAAGUGUUCUGUGCAUGUAAGUCCUUAAGUGUCCAGGGAGUUCAUGGAAACCAUGACACAUUAGCCCUGAAGGCAUGUACAGAGAGAUCACACAGUGCUCUGAAGACACAGCUUCUUAGCUUUGUCCCUAAUUGUAUCCGACUCUUAUCAAGGACACGGAUGCGUCUGGGUGCCUCGAGUCAAAUAAAGGGAGCGGUGAAUGCUGCUGUCCUCCCAAUGUGGACAGAAAGGUUAUCUGUUGAUAUAAAGGAGCUUUUCAAAGAACCUCUAACUCUUGUGUACUGUGAGAGGGGAAGGAUGAGGUAACAUCACCGGGCACAGACUUCAGAGUCUGCAUAGCCCCAUCAGGUUCUUACCCACCCUUGCCAUGUGGUCUUGGACAGAGUGCUUCAUUUUUCUGAGCCUCAGUUUCCUUUAUGUCAAAGUGGGGCUUUAUAUAAAGAUGAGCACAUGCGUUUGUAAAGUGCUUAGCACACGAGGCCUGUUAAUUAAAUGUGUUGUUAGUUAUUUGUUAUGUAUAUGAUAUUUUCCUUCCAUGAGGUCAUAGAUUUAAAGUCAUACAUAUUUGACCUGAAAUUAAAAUAUAAGUGUAUGGGGCUGGAACUAUGGUGUGACAGAUUAAGCUGGCAUUCCGUAUGAGCAUUGGUUCAAGUCCUGGGUUCAAGUCCAGCUCCCUGAAAUGUGCCUGGGAUGACAGCAGAAGAUGACCCCAAGUACGUGGGCCCUGCCACCCAUGUGGGAGAUCCAAAUGGAGUUCCAGGCUCCUGCCUUUGAUCCGUCCCAGCACUGGCUGUUGUGGCCAUUUGAGAAAUGAAGCAGCUGAUGGAGAAUCUCUCUGUCUCUCCCCCCACCUCGUGUGUGUGUGUGUGUGUGUGUGUGUGUAUGUAUGUCCCUCUCUCUAUAUAACUCUACUUUUCAAAUAAAUAAAUGUUAAUAUGUACGCACACAUACAUAUGCUUACAUUUAGCAGGAAAUGGCACAAUCAUGAACCACGCAGAUUGCUUGGUGAACCAAGUCUAUGUUACGGUAUUUGAGGGAAGGUUCAACUUUCUGAGACUGCCUCUUGGCUCAUCUACAGAUGUUUCCCUGAUGCCUUUGCUGAAAGGUUUUGCUUGUGUGUCUAACCUUUUCCUGUGCUUGGCUUGUAACCUGAAUGUGAAUAAACAACCUUGGGAAAUUUCAUGCCUGGGUUCACUAGGAUUUUGAUGUUGAAUCUUCCCGGGACAUUUGGGGUCUCUGCUGCCACCGUGGUGGGGCAUGGGAAAGACCAGCAUGGCAGGAGGAGGAGCAGAUACACAGGCAGAGCCCAGGCUACUCUCUCUUUGCUCUUCGUUUUCAGCCAUGUCAGGGGCUUAGCAUUGUUAGUGCAGGCCUUGCUGAGUGGUCUUUUACAUGCCAGCUUGGCCAUGAGGGAAGGUUUUUAUAAAUAUGUGCCUUUCUGAAUGGAUUAGAUGAAAAGCAGAUCAGAUGUUAUACAACAGCCUCCAGCUGCAAGGGGGCUGACUGCCAGAGCAGUUAGGGUUAGAUAAAUUAUCAUAGAGGAGUGAGCUGAUAAAGAUGGCUAAGCUCAUUUCCUUAUCUUAUAGUUCAGAAAAUUGAGACCCAGAGAAGAGCAGCAGAUUUCUCAAGGUCACAAUCCGUUCCUGGAUGCACCCAGGAACACUCUCUGAGCAGCUCAGGCAGUCAUUCGCUCUGCACUUUAAUUUUUGUAAUUUAUAUGAAAUGUUGCUUUAUUGCCAAUGGGAAAUUUUCUCAGGGGCUCUUGGAAGUGAAGAAGGUCAAAUGGCUACAAUUUAAAGGACACCUUAAACGGUGGGUUCAACAACUCAUAAAAGGAAAAAAUGGGCCAAGUGGGGGCCUUGGGCAAGUGCAGGUAGCACAGUGCCGUUCGGGGGGACUGGCCCCCAUUAGCACCAGCAGGUUUUGCCAUGAAGUGCUCAGGUACAGAGUUAUCCACAUUUAUAAUAAUUCCAUGUUUUAUUGUUGCUCUGAUUUUUCAAGAGAAGGUGGAAAUCUAAAAUUUUAUGUGAAACCCUUGGUGGUAAGUGUUGGCAAUUCAAUGAAUCAAACAGUUCAUAUCAGCAAAACCUCUUCACUUGCAACCUCUGGCUCGUGUGUGCAACAGGCUGGUGAGUGGCACACCACUGAGUUUUAGGAGGUGAGUGGCCAUCGCUACAGCCUCACGCUGUUUCUGUGGCAUGCACAGCUUCCCCAGCAGUGUGAAGAUGGAUGAUCCAAUAUUCCUUUGCAUCAUUGUCUUAUGUCAUCAAAGAUGACACUUUUCCCAUUGAUUUUGAAAGCAGAACUUUCAAUCAUCGUGAAGAACUCAGGGCCUCAGAGUGAGAUGGGAAAAUCAUGCCUCACUGUCUACAGUGGCAAAAUAUUGUGGAAAAACUUUACCUUUGACAUGCCUUCGUGCAGCUGUCUCCCAGCAACACCCAGGCUUUGCUCCUCAGCCUUGCUGUAGCCCUGGUGAGUCCUGGGCAGCAUGAGUUACAGCAGGAGAAGAUGUGGAUAUUUGGACAGAAUACAGGUACCUUCCCUUUGCUCUUGGUUUUGAGCUGUGCCAGGAGCUCAGUAUUCUUAAGAACGUUACUCUAUAGCCUGUCUUUGUCUAACAUCCAAACUUUGAACUUCCAUUUGAAAAAAAUUUAUUGGAAGGGAGAUACACAUACAUAAGGAGAUAUGUGUGUGUGUGUGUGUG